ensembl:snRNA U6 U6 spliceosomal RNA
GUACUUAACCCAAGGUACCACUGUACUAUAAUUCGAAUGAUACAGAGUAGAUUAGCAUGGUCCCCGCACAAGGAUGACACGCAAAUUCAUGAAGCGUUCCAUUUUUUA